rfam:Tritrichomonas foetus strain K scaffold_390, whole genome shotgun sequence.
UUUGCACUCAUGGCGAUUCGCUAUGAAUAAGUGUAGUAUCUGUUCUGAAUCGCUUGACAGCGGUUCGCCUGGUACGUGCCGGGCGCCCUGUUCAAACGAAUUUAUUUCUUCGCCUUUUAGCUACUGGCUAAGGGUGGUUGUUGCCCUCCUCCUUACACGCCCGAGGAGGUGCGACAAUAAUUU